rnacentral:lncRNA from 1 species
GACCUAACAGGUCACUAGCAUAGCAUCACCCUAUCUCUCAGGAUACCGAUCUCAAACAGGUCUCUAUAUACCAUCCUAGCUCUCAGGAUGCAAACAUAACAUAGCAACAACAUAACAACAACUACCCGGAUCUCAAUCCGAUAAGGGCCGGCCUUGGUGCCUUAGACCCUGUUGAUAUAGUGAGGAUAACUCACCUCGAAACUGCCGACUGAACAGAUAACCCGAACUGCUCCGAUCACUGAUACGAUCUCUACCACUGGACAACCGCCAAUGCACUGAACUCAAAACAACAAACAACAAUUACCAAAAUGCCCCUGGAAACCACUGGUCAACCCUUGGUCAAAGACAAGGUCAAAGUCAACCCCUGACUGACCCUACUCGCCGAGUCAACCCUAUGACUCGCCGAGUUCCCAUAAUCAGAACUUCACUCAAUCCGCGACCUAACUCGCCGAGUCACCCCGAGACUCGUCGAGUUCAACAACUCUGAGUCUACUCGCACACAACUCACCGAGUCAUCCCUUGACUCUCCGAUUCUCGACUUGACCAGAAAAUAUUGGGACUCUUCGACAAGACUCGCUGAGCCCAAGAACAGACUCGCCGAGUCUAAGGCUAUCUUCAACCUACUCGCCGACUUGUUCAUACAACUCGCCGAGUUCCAGGCAAUCUUUAAGCAACUCGUCGAGUCCACCCAUGUGACUCGCCGAGUACCACCGGUCUGAAUCCAUACAGAAGCACUCCAGGCCAUGCAAUUGCUCCAAAACAUAGAUCUAGCCUCCUACCACUCAUCCAUCACGUAAAGUGGCAAACUUUACGUGAAUCCAAAUAGACAUAUGCAUUUUGCACAUUAGGGCUAAGGUUUGGGACAAGAUAACUUCAUCCAACACUCAACAUAGGGACUUUCAUGCAUUCUAACUCUUCUCCAUCCCAGAUCAGAGGUAGCAACCUCAGAUCUAGCCUCUAAACUCUAAUACAUCCAAAGGAUAUGAUCUCAACACCCGCAAAAUAAAGAAUCUAGACAAUAGCGGCUCCAACAUUGGAAAGAUACCUCAAAAGGAAGCUCCAGGAGAAGAUUAUCCUGAAUCCUUGCAAAGCCCUUUGAUCCAAGCCUCUUCUCUUUUCGAAUUUCUUCAACAACCACCUCUUCAAGCUCCAAAUUGCUCAACAAUGGUGCUUCUCCAUGAUUUUAGGGUUUCUGGAACUCAAGGGGGAACAAAGAGGCUGGGAGGAAAACAUAAUGAUCUUUAUAUAGGGCUCAACCCCGAGAAUUAGGGUUUUCUCCACUCAGCGCCUACUCGCCGAGUCCAUCUUACUGACUCGCCGAGUCGGCUACUUAACACGCAACCCAGUCGCGANCUCGCCGAGUCCAUCCAUGGACUCGCUGAGUCACUCUUUCCAAAUUUACACUUUUAGCCCUUCUACUCUACUCUUGAUAUUUCGGGAUGUUACAGGUGGUGUCUAAAUUUACCAAAUAAGGAAAGAUUCUCAUCACCCAAGUUUCAAUUGGACCGAAACUUGGAACCGUUUAACUCCUAUGAUGAAUGAGAAUUUUCAUCUUUAGAAAAAUUAAGAUUGAUUCCUUGUUCACAUGUAUAUGUGAGUCAAGUGAAGGACUAAGGGAUCGAGUACACAUUCUUGUGCACUAUUCAAGUCCACCACAAAAGAUCAAUAAGACUAUUCGGCAUGAUUUACUAAAGUUUAGCUUGAUUCCAUGGAGCUUAAGAGCCUAGUGCUAGUUGGGUUUAACCAAAUUUACCAGUGUACUAUCACUGAUAAAUGUAUCACCUUCCGCAGUAAUAUGGAAACCAUAGUAAUGCUCUGGUGGAUUCCGAACUCUAGUGGAGUGCCUCAGAGGUACAGACUAGUCAGUUUGUUCAACAAGAUUUUCCUCCUCAGGUUGAUUGCUAGGGUUCGAGGUUCCUUCACCACUUGACUCUUGAAGUUCUUCAAGGACAAUACCCCUCCCACUGUUUCCUUGGCUUAUAAAUUCUCUCUCGCGAAAGACUCCUCUCCUUACCAUAAAGACCGCAUUAUCACUUGGUAUGUAGAAGAGGUAACCAAAGGAUUUAUGUGGGUAGCCAAUGAAAAUACACCGCUCACUUCGAGGUUCGAGCUUGUCGUGAUUCUCAAGGCCUCACGAAAGCCUCGCAACCCCAAAUCUUGAUGCGGUCUAGAUUGGGAACUUUCCCAAUUCACAUCUCGUGAGGUGUUUUGGCAACCUUUUUGGUAAGGACUAGAUUAAGGAUAUGUGUGGCAGUCUCUAAGUGUCACACCCCAAAACCAAGAACGGCGGAAACGUUCCGGGGUGGAGGACGUCAUGUGAAGUAUCAUAACAGUGUAAAGUAGUAAACAAGCAACAACAUCAUCCGUUGCAUUAAAAGUAAAUUUUUAAUACAUGUGUGUUCUUUCAUAAUGUACAACAAUAAAAUGCAUAAUCAAAAUAAGAUGAGUCUUCUCUGUGCUCCGUCUUCUCAAAGCCUGGCCAUCAUACCUGUCUAACUGGUGACCUGAGAAUAUAAGCNUACAAGUUAUUUUGAAAGCGAGUAUCAGCCUAAAGCUGGUGAAUUCAUAAGUAUUUAAGUGUCAUUGUCUUGUUUUGGAAAGCUAUUAUGAAUGCCUUGUAAAUCUUUAAAUGAAACAAUUGAUAUAAGUAUGAAAACCCUAGAAAAUCCUUUAUUUCCUACUAGUAUGAAAUGUAGUCUUCCUAGUAUGAAAUGUAGUCUUCUACCAAGACCCGAAUGUUCUGUUAUAAAAAUGAUAGUUUUUACCUUCUUUUUUACUAUUACAAACAGUACUUAGUCUAACUCAUCGUUUAUGUGAAUGUAUCACAAAAUAAAGUGAAUAGGAAAAGAAUAUAAUAGUCUUCUACCAAGACCCGAAUGUUUUGCUAUGAUAAUGAUAGUUUUUCCUUCUUUUUGACUAUUACAAAUAGUACUUAGUCUAACUCAUCGUUUAUGUGAAUGUAUCACAAAAUAAAGUAAAUAGGAAAAAUAUAAUCAUGUAAGUGUUAUCCUUUUGUAUAAGGAUUAACACGACAUCGCGAUUUGCGAAAUGUAUAACCUUUGGACAUCCAUGGAUUGUUCAAUUUUCCUCUAUAGCUACAGCAGGUGGGAGGAAGGGUUAGUCAUCAACCUCUGUAGAGAACAGUAGGCCCAAGGAAUGGUUAGUCUCGUAAAAGUACUCCUAGUAUAAGUAAUAACCGUAGGCAUCCGUAGAUGUUCAUCAACCAUUGGUGCUAACAGCUGGGCUUCGGAAUGGUUAGUCCCGUCUAGAUAUCCCGUUGAACUGGGAUAGGCAGGACAAUUUACACAGAAGUUACUAAUAAAUCAUCCUCGUAACUCUAGGUACAAGUAUCCAUGUAAGUGUAUACAAGAAAAUGUAUCUAUGUAAAGGUACUCAUGUAUGGUAUUCAUGUAAGCGUAUUCAUGUAAGCGUAUUCAGGUAAAUGUAUCUAUGUAAACGUACUCAUGUAUCAUGUAAGCAUAUGUAAACGUACGCAUGUAUCAUGUAAUGUAUAGUAUAGACUUNACUGACCCUUGUGUGAUUCCUUGUAAUAGGAAUAAUGUUUUGUAUCUCCUAACUAUCGCUAUAAUAGUUAACUGGAAGGUAAUUGAUUGUCCAAGCAGGUUUAUACACCCUUGCUACUCAAGAGUGUGGGAACUGAAUGAAGGAUGAAAACUAUAACAUCAAUACAUAUAUUAGAACAUAAGUGCAUAGACAUAGUUUUGUUCAAGAAGGUAAAAAUGGUUUUGUAAGACAUCUAAGAGUUUUGAACAAUAAUUAACAAUGACUUGAUGUCAUUUUAGUAAACAUUUCCAAAACUAAUACUUUUGUUAGCAAGGUAUUUUAAGAUAGGAAACCAUUUCAUGCAUCACAUUUUGAAGUAUGUGAAAUCUGCUGGGUGAAAACACAGUUAUAAAAUACAUAUGAGUGAUUUAAUAACAUACUGUUUUCUACUUGUAUCCCCCCCAUUAAAGCAUUUAAAAUCAUUUAAAACAUUGAUCAAGGGGUAUGAACUCACCUGUUGUGAGUGAUUCUAACUGGUUUGCGUGUAGGUAUGAGAAGUUCCACAAAUGAAGUCCCGAGACACAAUAAGUCCUAAAUGGCAUAUAAGGAUACAUAUUGACAUCAAUAUAGUGUUUAUAACAUCUAUAUGAAAGGAAACACCUUCCGGGACUAGGAAACACCUUGACAAAGUGUUCGAAUCAGGUGUGAUUCAACAUAGGGAGGUAUAAAGGCACUCACAUGAGUUUACUACCAUGAGUUCACGGCCCAAGGGAGUUUACGGCCGUAAACUCAUGGCUACUCAUGUGGGAAUGCAAGUUUGAAGGCUAGGGAAUGAUUUAGGGACAUUAGCUCUAACCUAGGAUGAAAAAGACCACCAUCUUUGGAGUUUUUGUGGAGUUCAUGGCCCUAAUGAGUUUACUACCUUAAACUCAUGGCCAUUUAUGUUUAUGAGGGUCCUAAAGGUCAUAAGGAAGCAUUCUAACUUCAAGCCUAAGCCUUUGGAAGUGUUUGUGGCAUCUAAACACCCCUAACUUGAUUUUACGGCCCAUGGACCAUUUGGUCAUGUUUUUGCGGCCGUAAACACUCAUUGGUGUUGGUAUUUUCAUUGUUUUGGGUCCUAGACACAUCAAGGUAAAGUGCUAUGUUUGUCUCUUGGCUUAAUGAAGAUAUCUAGGGCAUUUUGGCAACCUAAAAUGGAGUUCACGGUCCAAGAACAUCCUUGGCCAUGAACUCACUUUCAACCCUUGAUUCUUAAUGUUUUGGAUGUCUAAACAAGCCAUGGGUAGUCUCUAGGUUUAGUUCCAAAGUUUGGAGGGACAUUGGGCACACUUUUGGCCCUAAAUUUAGUGUUCACGGUUCAAGAAGAUCUUGGGCCGUGAACACCAUUUCCUUGGUGUUUUGAGGUUGUUUUCUAUCCCUAAACUCAUUAGUGUACAAGUCCAAACUAGUUUCAUGGCUUAAGGAAGGACUAGGCACCAUUUGGCCCUUAUAAAAGAGUUUACUCUCCAAGUGUUCUUUAGCGGUAAACUCUCAAAUCUUGCGGUUUUCAUCUGAUUUUGAUGUUAUUAGGCACAAUAUAAGCUAUAUAAUACAACUAGAUAGAAGUACUCACAAUUUUGGGAUAAAAACUUGAAGAUCCGUGAGAGAGAAUUUGGCUUUUUCUCUAGUUGGAAAUGUAACUAAUGAAUGAAUAUGGUUCAGUUUUCUAUAAAUAGUCCUGGGAUUUUUGGCAGAAAAUAUUUUAUUCCCAAAAUAAACUCUAAUAUCAUAGAGUUUUGGAAUAACAGAGUUGCACAAAACCCUAGUGCAUCCACUCUCCUGAUAUCUCCUUAAGUGUAAAUCCUGAAAUACUCAAACUUAUACCCAAAAGUCUGGAAUUUCACUGUAACUGUUCUAACUUCUAUUGACUUGAUAUGGUUUGUUCAGAAUGGAAAUUUCGGGUUGUCACACUAAGGCAUACCUCCAGAAUGAGAUUGGUAACAAAGCUCGACUCAUCAUGGAAUGAACCAUGUCCAACAAGGUUUGAUUGCGCCUCUCAGCCACACAAUUAAGAUGUGGUGUCCUGGGAGGUGUCAAUUGUGAAACAAUUCCACAUUCCUUAAGAUACUCAAGCAACUCUGUACUAAGAUACUCUCCCCCUCAAUCGGAUCGAAGCAUCUUAAUUUUCCUACCCAACUGAUUCUC